UGACGGGAUGCUAGUCUCAUAGAUUUAGCCAUGCAUGUGUAAGCGAAGCGAAUGCGGAGCGGCGGACGGCUCAGUAACAGGCGAGUAUUUGAUCUCCACAAGCGGACGACCUCAGGAAACGGAGGGGAAAACGCGGUAAGAGGAUGGGGAAGACCAUGCGAUGAUAACGUUAGUGUGGUGGAGAGUAAGAAGUCAGCCCAUCAGUUAAUAUGUAGGGUAAGGGCCUACUUAGACGAAGACGGGUACGGGGGAUUAGGGUUUGAUUCCGGAGAGGGAGCCUGAGAGACGGCUACCAGGUCUAAGGAGCGCAGCAGGCACGAAAAUUACCGAAGCCCGCAGAGGGGCGGUAGUGAAGAGACGUGAAGACAAGGACUUGUAAAGAGAGUCUGGGUAACUGGAGGGCAAGUCUGGUGCCAGCAGCAGCGGUAAUACCAGCUCCAGAAGUGUCUAUGAUGAUUGCUGCGAUUAAAAGGUCCGUAGUCGAACAACAAGGCCUGUCUGUAAAGGGGUAUAUCAAGUAUUGAAAAGGAUGGGAAGAGUUGUGAGAGAAGAGCGGCUGGGGGCUAGAUUAUUGUGGAGCGAGAGGUGAAAUUUGAUGACCUUCACAGGAGUAGCAGAGGCGAAAGCGCUAGUCAGGGGCGAAUCUGAUGAUCAAGGACGUAGGCCGGGGGAUCGAAAACGAUUAGAUACCGUAGUAGUCCCGGCAGUCAACGAUGCCGACACAGUUGGACAGUGAUGUGUGACUGAAGAGAAAUCUAGUAGGGCUAUGGGGAGAGUACGCGCGCAAGCAUAAAAUUUAAAGGAAAUUGACGGAAGAGCACCACAAGGAGUGGAGUGUGCGGCUUAAUUUGACUCAACGCGGGACAACUUACCAUUGCCGAUGGCCGGGAGAGUGUUGUACACGAUAGCGAGAGA
rnacentral:rRNA from 1 species